rnacentral:rRNA from 1 species
UACAGAGGGUGCGAACGUUGCUCGGAAUUACUGGGCGUAAAGCGCGUGUAGGCGGUCCGUUAAGUUGGUAGUGAAAUCCCAUGGCUCAACCAUGGAAGUGCUGCCAAAACUGGCGGGCUGGAGUGCCGGAGAGGGUGGCGGAAUUCCCAGUGUAGAGGUGAAAUUCGUAGAUAUUGGGAGGAACACCGGUGGCGAAGGCGGCCACCUGGACGGUAACUGACGCUAAGACGCGAAAGCGUGGGGAGCAAACAGGAUUAGAAACCCCCGUAGUCC